rnacentral:rRNA from 1 species
UACGUAGGGGGCAAGCGUUGUCCGGAUUUAUUGGGCGUAAAGAGCGUGUAGGCGGUUAGGUAGGUCCGUUGUGAAAACUCGAGGCUCAACCUCGAGACGCCGAUGGAAACCAUCUAACUAGAGUCCGGAAGAGGAGAGUGGAAUUCCUGGUGUAGCGGUGAAAUUCGUAGAUAUUCGGAAGAACACCAGUGGCGAAGGCGGCUCACUGGCCCGGUACUGACGCUGAAAUACGAAAGCGUGGGGAGCAAACAGG